AUGAACGCUGGCGGCGUGCCUAAUACAUGCAAGUCGAGCGAACGGACGAGAAGCUUGCUUUUCUGAUGUUAGCGGCGGACGGGUGAGUAACACGUGGAUAACCUACCUAUAAGACUGGGAUAACUUCGGGAAACCGGAGCUAAUACCGGAUAAUAUUUUGAACCGCAUGGUUCAAAAGUGAAAGACGGUCUUGCUGUCACUUAUAGAUGGAUCCGCGCUGCAUUGGCUAGUUGGUAAGGUAACGGCUUACCAAGGCAACGAUGCAUAGCCGACCUGAGAGGGUGAUCGGCCACACUGGAACUGAGACACGGUCCAGACUCCUACGGGAGGCAGCAGUAGGGAAUCUUCCGCAAUGGGCGAAAGCCUGACGGAGCAACGCCGCGUGAGUGAUGAAGGUCUUCGGAUCGUAAAACUCUGCUAUUAGGGAAGAACAUAUGUGUAAGUAACUGUGCACAUCUUGACGGUACCUAAUCAGAAAGCCACGGCUAACUACGUG
rnacentral:rRNA from 1 species